rnacentral:rRNA from 1 species
AUGAACGCUAGCGGCAGGCUUAAUACAUGCAAGUUGAGGGGCAGCAUGAUAUACGCGAGUAUAUUGAUGGCGACCGGCGGACGGGUGAGUAAUAGGUAGGAGACCUACCUCAUACAGGGGGAUAGCAUAGAGAAAUCUGUGGUAAUACCCCAUGAGGUUAUAUGAAUAGAGGCAUAUAAUCAAAGCAUAAGCGAUUAUGCGGUAUGAGAGGGGCCUACUGACCAUUAGCUAGUUGGUGAGGUAAGGGCUCACCAAGGCGAAGAUGGUUAGGGGUUUUGAGAGAGAGACCCCCCACAUUGGAACUGAGAGACGGUCCAGACUCCUACGGGAGGCAGCAGUAGGGAAUAUUGGGCAAUGGGCGAAAGCCUGACCCAGCCAUGCCGCGUGAAGGAAGACGGCCUUAUGGGUUGUAAACUUCUUUACUACGCGAAUAGAGGUUAGUACGAGAUACUAAAUAGGAAGGUAGUGUAGUAAAAAAGCACCGGCUAACUCCGUG